CCAGUCAAGCCUCUCAAAGAUGCUCAAAUGGCUGGC
rnacentral:sRNA from 12 species